GCGGAACGGCUGGGUGUGGGACGCUG
rnacentral:piRNA from 1 species